CUACGGGUCGCAGCAGUGAGGAAUCUUCCACAAUGGACGAAAGUCUGAUGGAGCGACACCGCGUGAAGGAUGACGGCCUAACGGUUGUAAACUUCUUUUCUGAGGGAGCAUAAUGAGAGUACUUCAGGAAUAAGGAACGGCAAAUCACGUGCCAGCAGCCGCGGUAAUACGUGAGUUCCAAGCGUUACCCGGAAUUAUUGGGUGUAAAGGGUAUGUAGGUGGAUUUUUAAGUCAGGUAUGAAAGACCGAGGCUCAACCUCGCGUUUGUAUUUGAAACUGAAAAUCUGGAAUCAGGGAGAGGUAAGCGGAAUUCUAAGUGUAGGGGUGCAAUCCGUAGAUACUUAGAAGAACACCAAAAGCGAAGGCAGCUUACUGGAACUGUAUUGACACUGAGAUACGAAAGCGUGGGGAGCAAAAAGGAUUAGAUACCCCCGUAGUC
rnacentral:rRNA from 1 species